rnacentral:lncRNA from 13 species
UAUGUAAAUUUUGUAGACAGCGUUUGUGGCGUCCUCGCUGUACCACCCUAGGCCAAAUGGAACUAUUAAGCAAUAUCUGUCGGUAAAAUGGUUGAUAAAUCUCGCAUGGUACAUACUGGUUCAUCGUUUCCAGAACAUUCAGGAAUACUUCGUUCACUUUGUUUUCGUUACAUGUGCAACGCAGAACGUGCGCGGAUCUAUAUUUCAAUAUAUUUCAAAAGUAUUCAGCAGUGUUCAGCAGUGUUCAACAGUGUUCAGAUUUUGUCCGGAAAGAAGAGAAAGAAGUAGUUUAGAGGCCUACCCGUACAACCUAUUGAUAAGCGUUAAUUCCGCGACUGGUAUUCAAUCAGAGGCUAUUAAUUUCUGUCAACUUGAAGAAUGUAUUAAUAAAUGGAUCUUGGAGUUGAAAAAGCAAGAUAAAGUACUUGUAAAUCAAGCGACACAAGUUGAUGCUUGGGACAAAUGGUUGAUAACAGGUGAUAACAAAUGGGGAGAAAAUACUAAUGCUGAAUCAAGAAGUUGAAAGAGUGAAAAUCGAGUAGCAGCAAUUGGAUUACGUUAUUGGACAACAGAAAGAGUUGCAAGAAUGUUUAAUACCAUUAGAAAAGGAGCUAGCAUCAUUAAGAAAUAGUAGCAUCAAGAAGAAACAAUAGCAUUUAUAAUGGACAUAAAAUUUUACAAUAUUUCGGGAGAACACAUCACGAAAAUUAUUGUCAUCCUUCACUUGAUUUUCCUCAUAAUCUCAGAGUGGGAAUACAACGCCCUGAUUCCAAGCAACCGGGUAUGCGAUUAAGGAUGUACUGGCGGUAAUUGCUGCUAUUUAUUUUUCUACACUCUUAUACAUGUACUUGUACAUAUUCACUAAAUACCUACAAAUUUUUGUAUUGUUAAAUUAAGAUUAUUAGUUUUUACGUUUCGUAAACCUGUUUU